GAUGAACGCUGGCGGCGUGCCUAAUACAUGCAAGUCGAACGCUUCACUUCGGUGAAGAGUGGCGAACGGGUGAGUAAUACAUAAGUAACCUGGCAUCUACAGGGGGAUAACUGAUGGAAACGUCAGCUAAGACCGCAUAGGUGUAGAGAUCGCAUGAACUCUAUAUGAAAAGUGCUACGGGACUGGUAGAUGAUGGACUUAUGGCGCAUUAGCUGGUUGGUAGGGUAACGGCCUACCAAGGCGACGAUGCGUAGCCGACCUGAGAGGGUGACCGGCCACACUGGGACUGAGACACGGCCCAGAAUCCUACGGGAGGCAGCAGUAGGGAAUUUUCGGCAAUGGGGGAAACCCUGACCGAGCAACGCCGCGUGAAGGAAGAAGUAAUUCGUUAUGUAAACUUCUGUCAUAGAGGAAGAACGGUGGAUAUAGGGAAUGAUAUCCAAGUGACGGUACUCUAUAAGAAAGCCACGGCUAACUACGUGCCAGCAGCCGCAGUAACAC
rnacentral:rRNA from 1 species